rnacentral:rRNA from 1 species
UACGUAGGGCGCAAGCGUUAUCCGGAAUUAUUGGGCGUAAAGAGCUCGUAGGCGGUUUGUCGCGUCUGCCGUGAAAGUCCGGGGCUCAACUCCGGAUCUGCGGUGGGUACGGGCAGACUAGAGUGAUGUAGGGGAGACUGGAAUUCCUGGUGUAGCGGUGAAAUGCGCAGAUAUCAGGAGGAAUACCGAUGGCGAAGGCAGGUCUCUGGGCCGAUACUGACGCUGAGGAGCGAAAGCGUGGGGAGCGAACAGG